AAGGUACAGGCAGCGGGCAGGCACGUGGGGGGCGGCAGCCAAUGGCUGCGGCGCCUGCGGGACUUCCCCGGCUCCUGGCGCUGAUAGAUCGCCGCGUCGAGGGCAUUUAAAAGCUGAGCGCUCCGGCGGCGCUGCACGGAACGGCACCGCGGGGCAGGGCGGUGGCGGCCACCCCCCGAGGGACAGAGGGGGGGCUGGGCUGUCGCCCCGCCACCACCGGGGUCCCGCCCGCCGGCUGAGAGGGGAAGGCAAGAGAGAUGCGGAGGCUGCUCCCCGCCCGCGGAGCCCACCAGCCGUCCCCUCCAGGCAUUGCCAGAAUGCAGAACUCUGGGAACAAAAGAAACCCCAAGCCCGUACGUGCUCUUUGCUGUCCAAUUUAGCCCAGUGGCAGAGGAGUUAAAAUGCCGAUGAGGCUGCUCGCUCUCCGCAGGGACAGGGCUAGAGCAGAGAGGAGAAGAAGCAGGGCCGAGGUUUCGCCGCGUCCACAGCUCAGCCAAGCUGUUGUUUUAAAAGAGCAAUAAAAAUGACUUAUGACUAAACGCCUUCUCACUUAAUGGUUUUAGACGGGGAUCCCCAGCCCCGGCAAAUACGUAAGAGGAUUUUUAUUUGUGCAUGUGUUCCUGCAAUUGAUCUCUUUGAUGACAUUCUCAUUCAUAGAAAGAGUUUGAUUUAUGACUUUCGGAAGAACUGCGUUCAGCCCUUCCAGCUAUAACCCACGCAUUCCAGCUCCACAACGUGUUGUAAGGCUGGGAGAAGCACUCCUCGCACAGACGGACAGCAGAGCCUCGGCCACAAACCUCACUCGCCCGUGUAAUGUAAUCACACGCACUCACACACACACACACACACACAGGGAGACGCGAUCGUACCCGCCCGGGGUCCCCCAGCCCUGGAGCGGCAGAGCCUCGUUGGCAUCUGUUGCUCAGUUUUAGCCCGAAGGACGGGGCUCACCCUGCGUUUUGGAGUCCGCUGGCCGGGUGGCAGGCAAUUUGUUGGAGGUUUCUGAAAGCCCAUCUUUGCUGCCGCCAGCAGAGAGGGGGGAGCCCCGAAGAAAUUGCAACUUUAAAGUCAGAGUUUCUCCUUUUCGUUAUCAGUCCUUUGUCCCGCAAGAAGGUUUAAACAGAAAAAACGUAUCUUCUGUUGUGUCCCUGCACUGCUCAUCAAAAGGACGGCUGAAGGGGCUGAUUCCUCCCUAUGCUUUUUAUCCUGUGUUUCUGCCACCCUUUUGAUUUUACAGGCACUAACUUCUCAAUUUCUUCUCCUUCUACGGCUGAUUUCUUGGACCGCUCAACACGUGAGAAGUAACCAAGCCCCUUCUCUGUGAGGUCUGGUAUUUUCUAAAAUAUGCUUCCUGAAACAGCUUGCUGGCUGCUAAACACUAAUUUCUAGAAAAACAGGAUUCCCCCUCCCCCCAAAAGAAAUAAAAAUGCUUUUCUUGUAUGUAACAGGCUAGUUUCUGCAGGAGACGCUUAUCCUACUGAGUCUCUCUUGUGUUUUCCCUGCAAGAGAAAGUGCUCGUUCAUGCUUUUGUUACAGCUCAGCAUUUCCAAGCUUUGUAUCCUCACAGAGAUAAGAUGUUACAUUUAUACAUUAAAAGGAAGAGGUUUCCAUCAAAGCUGCGAAUGAUUUUAGUUUCUCUGGUUUCUUUUUGUUGCUUUGUUUUGUUUUGUUCUGUUCUUUAUUCCGCGUGAAAACCCUUGCAAUAAAGAAUGUGAACCUA